GGGAGAGAGCACUGGCUUAAAUGGAGCAUACAGUGUUUGAUACAAGUAGGGUGGCAUGAGACAGCAGCUUGAUGGGCUACUAGGGUAAGCUCACAGCAUUGCUCUGGUUUAGAUAUGUCCCACAGACUUCCAGUAUUAGAAACCUAAUCCUCAAAUUCAAAUGGUAGUGGAAUUCAGAUAUGGGGCCUUUGGGAAUAAUGAAUAUUAAAUUCAGUCAAGAGGUUGGGGCCCCUGUGAUGAUAAUUUUAUAGGCCUUUAUAAGGUGAGGAAAAGCCUGAGCUAGCAUAUUUGCUGUGUCACCAUGGGAUGCCCUGCACUACCUUGGGAUUCUGCAGAGUCCCCUUUAUCAAGGAUCCAUGUACAGCCCCCUACAAUGGACCUCUCAGCCUCCAGAACCAUAGCCGAACAAGCUGUAUCCUUUAUAAAUUGUCAGUUACUACAACAGAAAAUGGAUUGAAGCACAAGGAUGUUCUGUCUCUGUAUCGGGCCCCACUCUGGUUAGAACUACCCAGGAUUCCCCAGAGGUGGGCCAUCCCAAGCCACCUUCACCUUGGCCGUACCUGUGGAUUCCUACAACUUUGAGAUCAGAUAGGCCAAACCCUUAGUGGGAAUUAUUUCUCUCUAUUCCUCUGGCAAGUGAGGAACCCUCAAGAAUCCCAGAGAGAUUAUGGGACAUGCAACACUUUUAGACACCCUCCUUCCAUGGCUCUAACUUCUCUACUUUGACCUAAAACCUUCCUGGGAUUAAUGGUGCUCUGCUGGUACUAAGACAGUGGUAUGGUGGUGGAGUGUAGUGCCAUCUGGAGUGCCCAGGUAAUAGGACAGAAAACUGCCUGGUCUCCAGUCCCCAGGCCCAGGGGACAGGUGGAGGUGGUCUUAAUGUCCAGCAGGAGGAAUACUGUUGCCUGCCCACCCUCAAGAACAGUGGAGAGGAUGUACAGGGAUGUGGACUUUGGGAGGAACCUUACAAAGGAGAUGCUCAAGACUUAUGCACCAUCCGGCACAGGGACCUUGUUCUCAAACAUGGAGUGGAAAUGGCCAAAGGGGAAGUGUCUGCUGUCGCUGGGAGGCAGCUCUUGAACAAUUGAUGGUUUUCUUACUUGGUACUAUAGGUGGCUCCCACGUCAGAAAAGACUACCCUACAAAGUACCAAGAUACAAGGUCAACACAACAUGUCUGUAUGCUAACACCAAAUUCAGAAAUGAAAUGAAAAUGUUUCCAAGAAAGCAAAUGCAAGGCUCACAUGCUGAAAACUACAGGGCUUUGUUGAUGGCAAGUUUAAGAAGCUCAAAGUAAAUGGAUUGGAAGACUUGCUAGUGUGAAGAUAGUAAGUCUUCCCGAAUCGAGCUAUGGAUUCUUCCCAAUCUUUAUCAAAAUCUUAGCUGAGAAUAAACUUAUCCAAAAAUUCACACAGUAAUGCAGAAGACUCAGAAUAGUCAGGAAGCGAUUUUGAGACAGGAAUAGAGGAAGACUUACUGUCUCCAUUGUGAAACUUAGAAGCUGUGCCGAUCAGUAUGGUAGCACCGAGAGGCAAAUCCACAGAACAGUGAGGGUUCAGAAACAGGGCUUUACCCCGGCAGCCAGUGGAUUUUGACAAAGGCACUCAUGUGGGGCAAAGGCUAUGUAACAAGCAGUGUUGGCACAGCAGGGUAGUCCAUGUGCUAAACAAUGAAGGCAGAGUCUCCUUCACACCACACGAAAUGAACUGACUCCCAGAAAAUGUCAGGGAAGAUCAUUCUGACCUUGGGUCAGCAUAGAAGUUGAUCAGCUGGACUCAGUCAAAAUCACUUUAUUUUCCCCCUUCAGAAGACACAUAAUUCAGAAGUAGAAGCCGUACAAGUCUGGAAGAAAUGCUUUCAAAGCCUGCCUCCGACAAAGGAUAUACGGUACACAGACUCUGGCUAUGAUGAGGCAAGCUGCUGUGUUGCUGGAACACAGAGCAGGAAGCGAGAUGUCCCCCAGUUAACGUUCUGCAACUCAUGAAGAACUGGAUCCUGCCAAUGACUGCUGAGCCUCCUAUCUCAGGGCACUGUGGCUCAUGGGGCUUGGAACAAGGGUGCAGCUAAGCAUUGUCCAGACCACUGACCUAGAGACACUAGCACAAGCCAUAGAAUUGGAGUCAUUUGCUGUGCAGAAACAGAUAAGUAGCUGGAAUGCCCAGCCUUAGCUGUAGAACCUCUCACCCAGGCUGUCAGGGUCCUCGGUACUUUGUAUUAGACAGUUCUUCACCAAGGGCACACAGAGAAAGUUCUACUUCUGGCCCGGCAAGGUGUGCACUGAGGAGGGACUACUUUUUCUUGGUGCUGUCUGGAUACCAGCCCUUUCCCAAGCUGUGUCCUAGCCCACCUUUUAAAGACACUGACAUCUUUCUGUCAACAUUUGCUCUUAAGCCUAUUGCCCUUAUUCCUCUGUGAACCCUUCAAGGGCAAGGAUUAUUUCCUGGACCAUCAUCUGUCUCAGAGUUUGCAUGUAAUAAAUAAUGGAUGCCCAUAGAUCAUGCUUCCUGGAGAGCAAUGAGAUUGAGCCCACCCAUCAGGUGAAUAAUAUGAAUACCUAAAUGGCCAUUCAGGAUUUUUGGUAAAUCUCCUCCCUUUGGGAAGCCACAGGAUGUGAGGGGUACAUCAGAUGUCAGGGACCUGUUCGAUUGGAACCUUUGACAUCAGUAAGGUUGUUUUCCUCUGGUUUUUGCUUUCUCAGCUGGCACCAAGUGAGGCUGGCACCCUUGCCCAUGUAGAGUUGCCAUGCAGGAAAGCAGAAUACAGUCCCCGAUAUAAGGAAUGUGUGAAGUGCUCAACCCCAGGAGAGUCUCACAUGACACUAAGUGAAUGAUAUCAAAGUAAUAUAUCAUAUUAAUAAAUAAUGUUGAGUGAAGUAUAUUCAAUUUGCAGCUCAUUUAAAUGUAGAUAUAUGCAUAUGAUAUUCAGUAUGUUCAUAUACAUGGGUAAUGCAAAUUCCACUGUGAUACAUAACAUUCUAGCUAGGGGAAAACUGCAUAUAUGGUAGUGGUCUCGUAGGAUUAUAGUGAAAGGGAACAUUCAUAUCCCUGUGGAUAUUAUAGCUGCUGCUGUAACAGCUAUCGUGGCACAGCCCAUUCCUACAUGAUUGUAGCAUUACUGGUGUAGGCAGACCUACUGCACUGUCAAUCAUAUUUAAAGACAGCACAUAGAAUGAUGUGCAAUACCUAAUACUCUAGGGUGCUAAAUGAUUCUGUUGUGGGUAUGGGUUACAUCCUAUUAUAAAGCAUUUCUACUUAAAAAAAAAAAGUUUGCCCCAUGUAGUAGCAUGCCUUGUAAUCCCAGCACUCUGGAGGCUGAGAACAAGGACAGUGAGUUCAAGGUCAGCCUGGGCUACACAAAGAGAGCUUAUGCACUAUACCACCAGCACCUCCGAUAUCAUUUACUGCCUCUUGACUGCAUCAAGAGGCCACAGAGUAAACAACAUUGAGCAUCUAGGUGCGCGUAAGUUACUCUAGGAUGUCUGCAAGAUGACAGAUUGCACCAGAUAGUGACUUAUUUCUCCUCACAUGUCCUGUUGUUAAGCAAUGUUUGAAACAGUUGGAUGUCUUCUGUUUCAGUAUCAGUGAUUCCUUGAAUUUAAUAACAUUACAGAUAAUUUUGUAGGAAAAUGGUAUGCCAUUUUUGUUUUUGUUUGUCAUUUGAAGGCUCUAGGGAUCGUUUCCCUCCAAAAGGCUAAGUCAUAGGCACGUGCUGUUGCUCUGGGUGUUCACUAGAGGGCAGCCUAAACCCAUGUGUAUACAUCAGUGAAGCUUCUACAGAGACAAAAGAGAACCUUGUUUCUUAGAAGCAUAAUGUUUUUACUACCCACCGGAUAGCUUUACUUUGGGUAACGACCUCUAAAAAACCAUGGCCAAACAGGCAGCCUUACUAGAGGGAGCAAAGUGUGGAUCAGAAAUAAACGUGAACCACCAAUUUGCAUAUACUUCCUCUUUUACAUUUCUUAGCUUUUCUUGACUGCAUUUCUGUGAACUUAAGGAUGCACAAAUAUUGUACUCAUUUGCUCAGAAAUGAAGAACUGCUAGAACUAUCUAGGUAUGAACAGUAACAUGAAUUGCCAUUUGUGGAGUUACAUACACAAUUAUCACUUGGUAUCUGUGGGCUGUUUCCAAGACCCCUCAGGUCUUCAGAUGCUAGAGUCCCUUUUAGAAAAUGCUGUAGUAGUGCAUGGAACCUACAUACUUUUUGCAAUCUUUCCAUCACUUACCAUUAUUCCUAAUACUGAACACAAUGCAAAUGCAGUGUAAAUAGGUGUUUGCUGUAUUUAGGGGGUAAUGGUAAGGACUGUACAUGUUCAGUAGUCAUAGUUUAUUGGGUGUGGCUGUUAGGGAUUGAACUCAAGGUUGUGUACAUGAUCAGCACAUGCUGUACCAUUGGGCUACACUCAGGUGCAUCAUUUCUUUAAACAAAUGCUGUCUAUUUGUGAUUGGCUGUACCUUUGUAUAAGUCAUGGGAAUGGACGGCAAAUCUUUCUCUCUCUGUGAUGCCUUGUCUUGAGGCAAUGUCAGGGCAGAAGACAGACAUGGAGACCUUGCUCAGAGGGAAGGGUCUCUAGGCCAGUCUGAUGCAAAUGAUCUGGACCAGAGUAAAGGGAUGGGGCCUCCUGAGCAGCAGGCAAGCAGUAGUUAGUGGACAGAGAAGCAGGGAUAGUGCAUGGGGCAAGGAUGGAAAGCCCAUGACCAGGUCUCCACGGAUUGGUGAGGAAUUAGGCAGACCCUGAAGCCAGCUUCUCAGGGUCACUGGCGCCUGCGCAUUCUCUUUCCUUGUCCUCACCCAUCCCAACAAGGGGAAGGAAGGCUUGUUCUCCACUUUGGCAGUUCGGGUGGGGGAAUGAGGGAAGCAGGAGGGUUGACAGACUGGAGGCCUUGUGGGUAGAUAGUUCUACAUCAACUCAACACAGGCUAGAGUCACCUGAGGGGAGGGAACCCCAAUUGAGUAAAUACCCCCAUGAGAUCAGGCUGUAGGCAAGCCUGUAGGGCAUUUUCUUAGCUUGUGACUGGUGGAGGAAGGCCCAUUUUAACCAGUGCCAUGCCUGGACUGGUGGUCCUGGACUGUAUAACAACACUGGCUCAGCAAGCCAUGGGGAACAAACCAGUAAGCAGCACUCUCCAUGCCUCUGCAUCAGCUCCUGCUCCCAGUUCCUGCCCUGUUUGAGCUCUUGUUCUGACCUCCUCUCAUGAUGAACAGUAAAGUGGACUUGUAAGCAAAAUAAAUCCUUUCCUUUCCAA